ensembl:lncRNA
CCUUCCACAAAGCUGAUUCACCUGAGUGUAGAUGGGGCGUCUUAAUGUGUGUGGCCACGUUCUGACAGUGAUGUGGACAAUGAGACUUCAUUUAUGCAUGUUUUGUGUUUGUUAUGCAGAAGGUAAUUGCUUGCAACUGGGAACCUGUUGAACCAGUGCAGUGUUCAGGAAGGAGCAGCUCACAUUCCUCCUGCUCUGUGAAACCUGAAGAUGUUUCUUCCUCCUUUGCUUUGGUCCUCCUUGCUUUAUGCAAAGGCAAAACCGGUGCGGCCAAGAUCAUCUAGGGAACAGUAUUAGGACUACCUGAUUUGGUUGCAAGUAUAACAAAUCUAGGACCAGAAUUUAGAGACAGGUUGUUCAUUUGAUGUUUAUUUAUUGUCACUAUCUGCAUUACUCUUUGUAAUGAGUUAAUUUGUGGAGCAUUUUUUGUUCUGUUGCGUAACAGCAGUGAUAUUGGAGGUACUCUCCAGGCUCCAGUCCUGUUCCUUAACGCAUCCAGUGCUCAGGAAGGAGAAGUUGUCCUGGCUCGAUGUGUCUUUCAGAAACAGUUUCCUGCUACCCGAAUUGUCUUGUGCAAGGAUGGGUUGGAGGUGUACAGUGUGAAGGUCCAAGAGGGAAGGGUCAUGAGCUCCAUGCUGCUGAACAUCACUGAGAGAAGUGCGGGGACAUACACAUGUUUCUACCAGCAG